rnacentral:rRNA from 1 species
UUGCCCUUAGUAACGGCGUAGUGAAGCGGCAACAGCUCAAAUUUGAAAUCUGGCGCAAGCCCGAGUUGUAAUUUGUAGAGGAUGCUUCUGGGCAGCGGCCGGUCUAAGUUCCUUGGAACAGGACGUCAUAGAGGGUGAGAAUCCCGUAUGCGACCGGUUGGCACCCGUCACGUAGCUCCUUCGACGAGUCGAGUUGUUUGGGAAUGCAGCUCUAAAUGGGUGGUAAAUUCCAUCUAAAGCUAAAUACCGGCCAGAGACCGAUAGCGCACAAGUAGAGUGAUCGAAAGAUGAAAAGCACUUUGGAAAGAGAGUUAAAAAGCACGUGAAAUUGUUGAAAGGGAAGCGCAUGCAACCAGACUUGUCGGCGGUGUUCCGCCGGUCUUCUGACCGGUCUACUCGCCGCCGACAGGCCAGCAUCGUCUAGGCGCGCCGGAUAAAGGUGUCGGGAAUGUGGCCCCUCGGGGUGUUAUAGCUCGACACACAAUACGGUGCCGCCUGGGCGAGGUCCGCGCUUCGGCUAGGAUGCUGGCGUAAUGGUUGUCUGCGGCCCGUCUUGAAACACGGACCAAGGAGUCUAACAUCUAUGCGAGUGUUCGGGUGUCAAACCCCUACGCGUAAUGAAAGUGAACGGAGGUGGGAACCCUUACGGGCGCACCAUCGACCGAUCCUGAUGUCUUCGGAUGGAUUUGAGUAAGAGCAUAGCUGUUGGGACCCGAAAGAUGGUGAACUAUGCCUGAAUAGGGUGAAGCCAGAGGAAACUCUGGUGGAGGCUCGCAGCGGUUCUGACGUGCAAAUCGAUCGUCAAAUUUGGGUAUAGGGGCGAAAGACUAAUCGAAACCAUCUAGUAGCUGGAUCUGCGAG